GUGUUCGGUUCUGGCCUGAAGUAACCCUGCCUGGUGUCACAGGCGGUGAAUUUAUGACAGCGAAUUGUAGCCGGCGUGACGGGGAACAGUGGCACCGGGAGCACCAAUAUUGGAUCACAAUUUCAGCAAAUAUUGAAUCGGUUCUAUCAGUUGGGUGCACCACCAUGGGUUUGAGAAUCACCGCCAUUUUUUGUUUGAUUGCACCUAUGUCAUUCAGCUGUGACGUGGAGCCACCUGCUGACUGCGUCCUACAUGCUGACGAGGA